CCACGCCAGCGAGGGGGUCACACUGAUAACCCCGCGGCUUGUGGCAGCCCUGGUGCCUUUUGGAUUACCGGGACUACAGUCUCCACGCCACGGGAUGGGUGGAUGAUGUUGCUGCUGUAAACUAUAGCUUGUACAUGGGCUUGUAAAGAUAUAUAUUUUAAAUAUAAGUACAUGAACUGCAUAUGUUUUGUUUGUGAGAGCCGACAUGGAUCUUUGGCAUGACCCGAAUGAACUCUGGCACGCCUUCACACCUCAUUUCCAGAACCCAGGACAUUCCCAUGUGCAGCCAGCAUGCACUGGGAAAUGCAGGAAAUCUGUGCAUAAACCAGUGGGUUUUUACAGCAUUGCUACCCAAGCAACUUUCAGAUAGCACACCUUUUUGGCCAGGGAACAAAGGCUACAUGUAGGCUUGGACUCUGGAUGCACAUGGCAAUGAAGUUCCUUGUACCCAGGAGCUGAACUGCUGUAUUUAAGGUCUGUUCUCAGCUCAGAGUUAGGCCAAGUUAUAUGCUUGGAAUAUAGCCUCUGACUCCAGGUCUAUCCACACACAAUGCCGCCUACCCUGGGCAGGAGACUGCUGAUAUUUGCAGAGUCGGGGCUUAGUCUGAGUAAACAAGACUUGUCAGUCGACUAGCACAGCCAUAGUUUUGUUGUUAGACCAAGCAAUGACGGAUGUUUCAUCCCGUGGCUGAUCAUGCCUGUGCCUGCCAGGCCUUCAAAACUCAUUAGGGGGACAGGUUAAAAAACACUAUAGCAACACCAAGAAGGCUCUGCAAAGCAUCCCCUGCUUCUUCCUAUCCAAACCCAUAUAUUUUCUACUUUGCUCCUAAGGCUGACACUGUGUUAUCAAGAUGCUCUUCUGUCAUCAUUUUUCUGCAUUGCAGUCCUGCAGCUUGGUGACUUUUGCUCACUAGGGUGGUAAGAAUAUAACAGUGGUGCUGACUGGCACUGGAGAUCACACCUCUCCUCAGGAGUUAAUUUCUCUCACUGUUCAGACAUGGGCUGUAUGUCACUACCCCCUGAAAGGCAUGUAGGCUUUCACAGGAGAGAAGCUAAGGAAUCAACAAAGUCAGCUAAGGAUCUAAAGAAAGCUUUUCAGAAAAGAAAAAUUCUGGGGACACUGUGAUCAAAACUACCUAUGAAGAAACCCAAAGCUUUCCAGUCUGCAAUGUCCCACUACUGCUGCCAGCAAAGGCAAAGCCACAGCAAUCCUGCUGUUAUUGUUCUUCCCUCUUGGAGUCUGCUUUGAAUUGCAAAUUAAGUAAAUUCAAACACACACACACAAAAAAUAUACAACUUAGCCUGAACCUCUGAGUUUCACCAGGGUUUGGAAGGAGAACCACAUGCAUCAGAACAUUGCUGGAUAUAAAACAUGGAGUUCUGUGUAUUCCUACUUUGGAGCCUUCACAGUUUUAUCUGAAUGCUGAGUGAAACCAUGUAAUUUUCAAAGCAGUUCAUUAAAGUGGAGUGUGACUGAGGCAAACAGGAAGUGCCAAAGCAAAAUUUGAACUGGAGUACAAACACCUUCAAAAAUUCCGGAGUCUCUCAACAUGGAAUUUCUCUUUGGUUCUUUCUAUGUCAUUGUAUAGAUAAACAUCACGAGUGAAAUAUUUAGGCUCAAGUCACCCAAAGACUGGGAAGUGCCCACACUGAGUGUGCAUGUUACUUUAAAACCUAGUCUCAUGAAGAUUUAUUACUGGCAUGAAAAUUUUCAAAGAAGGCUUGGAUAGACUUAGCUAGCUAAAGGUGAGUGCCAGCAUUUCCUACACAUUGGAGCAAGUAGCCUCAGAAAUCCUGGCCCCACAGGAUUGGCUCCUAAAGCAGGCGGACCUGAACUGUUAACUGAAGUAUUUGAAAGACACCAACCCUGAGAGGAUUAUACUGAACUUUGUGACAGCUACACUUGAGGAAAAAAAGGAAGGAAAGGGGCUGAAGGAGCCUGAAAGGAAAAUGAACAAUUCAGAUCAAUGGAACAGGCCUGGAGGCUUCUAAAGAGAAUCUUUUAAAGAACCACAGACAAUGGCCACAGUCUAGACUGAACACACAGAGAAAAGUCAAGACAAAUCAUCACCAUUAAAAGCUAAAUAAUCACAUCACAUAACAGCAAGAUACAGCAAUAGUCUCUCUGUCUCUGCUCUGAGUUGAAAACACCUGGAAUGUGACAUUUGUUUCUGGGCACCUCCUCAUCAGUGUGACUGGAGACAGUUCAGAGAAGAGCCUCAAAAGCAACCAGUGUCGUGGAAAGACUGAACAAUUAGGGAAAGAAAUUAAGAGCUACAUCUCCAAUAGCCUGGUUACAUGCCAGUCACUAUCAGAUGAGGGCAAAGGCAUGCAAAAAGCUGAAUAUAAUUGAAAGGUGUGAAUGACAAAAAAAAAAAAAAAAAAAAAAAAGAGAAAAAA